GGCCAGUUGCACGUUCUAAACAACACAGUUCAACCAGUAAUCGAUCCAAGAUGACCGCUAAAACUAUUUUCCUGCUGGCGUUCCUCAUGGCAACCCUGACGGUGCAAAUGACGCCAGCUUUUGAUCUGCCCCCGUUGGGUGGUGGAGGUCUUCCCCCAACUGGGGAGCUGCCGAUAGCCGUUCCGGACACCCACCAUCAUCUGGAAGGUGCCGGUCACAAUCCUGCUCUUGACCACCAUAUAAAUGAGGAGCAUCAAACUGGAAAAUGAUACAAAAAUAUCACACUUCUGAUAUUGACCUACUGGCAAAGCAAACGGAUAAAAUGUAUAAUCGUUAAUCAAUAAACUUCAUUGCUUGCACUUCAA